UUUGCUUUCUGAAAAUGACACACAAAAGCGCUUUUCUGGAAAUUACUUUCCCGCUCACAAAGUCGCAUUCCCACCAAAAUCGCUUACACUCCCAAAAUCACUUUCCCAGCAAUGUUUUAACUCGCUUUACAUUCCCGACAAAAUCAACUCAAAAUCGCUUAAAUGCAAACUCUCAGCAAAAUCACCGAAUCGGCGCAAAAUCACUUAUUCGGAGCUAAAUCGUACUUGAUGAUUUCGUUUCUUCUACUUCUUCUUCAUCGGAGCUAAAUCGGACUUCAAGAUUUUGUUUCUUCUUCUUCUGAGCACAAUUUUCGUUUCUUACACACUGAAGAGUCCACACUUUCACUUCUAAUAGGUAAUACCACCCUGUAGUUCUAUGUGGUUUUGCUGCUUCAUAUUGGUAAUACCACCCUGCUUCAUAUAGAUAGUUUAUUCUUUUUAAAAUAAUAUUGGAUUAUUUGCAGUUUUGAUAAAUAAUAUUGGAUUAUUUACUACUCUGAUACACGGUUUUGGUGUGUAGUUCUAUGUGGUUUUGCUGCUUCAUAUAGAUAAUUUACAAAGGAAUAACUUGUGUUUAAAAUUGAAAGGCUGCAUGCAUGUAUGCAUAAUGAUAUACGGAACAGGUUGUAGGAUGGUGAUGAUGUCUCUUGGUAGUGUACAGCUUGUAGCUUCUAAAUCUUGAGAGUUGUUGGAUUUAACUAUGAGCAUUCUAAAGUUGGUGAAUCAAUUAUGGAGAUUUCUGGACAUUAUUCAUGUCUCAACCUUCUCCCGUUAAUCAAGUUUACAACAAAUCAGAGUAUAGAAGGAAUUAAAGGACUCUUAAGGAAUUGGUGACUUGAAGUCGGAAUCUUGAGCUUAAACAAAGAUUGAUCAUCAUUUAAAAGAGGUUUUGCAACAAAACUAGACCAUCAGCUGCAUCAUGUUCAUCAGGAGUGAAGACACUGACUUUGGUUUUUAUCUUGAAAACUAGAGAACUUCUAUGUUUCAAGUUGAGAUUCUUGAAACUUUGGUUCUUGCUUAAUUUGGUUUCUUUCAUGUUGUCUUGUGUAAUGGGAGCGUGAACGGAAUGGGUAUUGGAUAGCUUACUAUGUGAAGAAUAAUGUGAAGACUAAGUUGCGAUUCUUGAAAUCUUGAAUUUUGCCUAAUUUGGUUUAAUGGUUUAAUACUUUAAUGAUGUAUCUUGAGCGACAAACAUUCAGUGUUAACUACUCUGAAUAAAAGGAUCAAUAUAUAUAAUGGGUAAGAAACCCUAAUUGUGCAUUAAA